CCCACUUUCUCGUAAUUACGAAAACCCCCCUUGACUAACGGUUGACCGAAUUUUUUUAACCGAAAACUUGAAAUGUCUAUUAUAUCCUUCUGUUAUACCCUCGAUUUCAAACCUCCAAACUUUGCAAAUACAUUUGUUUGCUGCAAUAACAUUCGACAACGGAGUUCAUAACCGGGGAAAUAUUCUGAGAAUCAACAGCUUUGCGGGAUUGAAUCAAUAGAGGGAAAAUCUUGCCAGGUGGGUAAUCUUGAACAAUUGAAUCUAAGAUGGGGUUUCCAAGUACAGAAAGCUCCGACCCUAACAGUAUCCGGAUAAUCCGGCACCGGUCGCCGAUAUCAGGCUUGAAAUCGAGGGUAUUCUGAGCCCAAUUGAAGAAACUAAAACAUAUUUUGGGGUGGGUUUCGAUUCUGUUCAAGAUUUAGUGAAAGAGGGAAGGAGUAAAAUUGGAGGAAAACUUGAGGGGUUUGAGAAGCGGAGCCCAUAAUUUGGAGUGUCGUUGCAGGAGGACUGUGGAGGCCUGUGAAACAAGCUCGGUUUGGUUGAUUCGGAUCCUCCAAUUCCGGGUCGGGUUUCUUCCUGAAGUUGUGAAGUGAUUGGGGUCGGCUGGAUUUCCGGGCCGUUGAUUUCCGAGCAUUUGUUGGUGAUGCGGGAUAGGAAUAUCGAAGCGACCGGCGAAAGGGCAAAAUUGGUAUUAUCAGAGGAAUAUUCGGGAGAAUAAAAAAGAUUAUAUCGAGUUUAACACCGUUAGAGCAAUUUGUAAGAUGUCUGCAUACCUCAGGGGGGUUUUUGUAAUUACGAGAACGUGGGGGGAAUUUCCGUUAUUCAGACUUACCUCAGGAGGGUUUGGUAAUUUGCCCUAAUAUUUAUGAUAUGUUUUUGAAUUGAAAGGUGAACCAAGAUAUUAUUUGGUCUUUUCAAGAAAACAUGAGGAAAAAUUGUAGCAGUAACUUUGCACUUUAUUUAAAAACUUUUUCUCAUGUGUCAAUCGAACACAUCAAAUAAUGGAGACAAUACUAUGGCACAAGUGAUGGAUAGGUAUUCCCACGCCAAAAUGCAAUAAUUCAACUUAAUAAUCAUUAUACUACUCGAAAGAUAUAAAGUUUUUUUUGCUGCAUUUUCUGUCUAUAUAAACUAUUGCACCAAUAACAUUUAACUUACCAUCCAUUUCUUCUACCUUCGAUCUGCUGUAAUGGCAACCAAAAAAUCCAUCAUUUUCCGUCAAGAAGACUCUCUCUACGAACUCAAUUGAGAUGAAAAAAUCGUCAAUACUUUCAUCCAAGUAUUGGCUUACGAAGUACGUGUAGGUAAAUUUAUUGUCGGCAAAGAAAACAAAGAAUCACUCCUUUCGGCUCGAAGUGUUAGUGGAAGAAAAUACGGGGAUUUUUUUUCAAGAAAAUACAUUUUGAAGAAGUUGGGGAUUCUCAAAACGAGGCACCGCCACAUUCGGUUGGAUGAUAUCGCAACUAGGCGUCACAUACGAUGAAUCAAGCAAUGUCGUAAUUGCUUCGGAUUUGGUGUGGAAAGCUUUUUUAAAGGAACACACCUUCGCAUUUGCAUAUCGGACUUACGGGGAUAGCAAUUGGGAAGAACUAUAGACCAUAUUCGUAUGUGUUCGCCUAGUUGCGGUAGCAUCUAACCAAAUGCGGUGUGCCUCGUUUUUUUAAAUGUAUAUACCCGUGUUGAGAAUCCACAACUUCUUCUAAAUGUAUAUUGUUGAAAAACAAAUACCCGUGUUUUUUUCCAGUAAGACUUUGAGCCACAAGGUGAUUCUUUGUUUUAUUUUUCGGCAACAAAUUUACCUACACGUGCUUCGUAUGCCAACACUUGGAUGACAGUAUUGUCUAUUUUUUCAUCCCAAUUGAGUUCGUACAAGAAGUCUUCUUGACGGAAAAUGAUGAAUUUUUUGGGUGCCAUUACAAGAUAUUGAAUGUAGAAGAAAUGGAUGGUAAGUUGCAUGUUAUGGUGCAAUAGUUUAUAUUGCCGUCGAAUACGGUAGCACGGAAAUAGAACGUCGUCGGGCUCCUCGACGAGUCCGUAAGUCAAGGAUUAAUUGUGGGUGUCGGCCGAUUAUAUUCACUUCGUUGUUCGUUAAUGAUCAGUUAUACUAUUUAUAUGUUGAAUAUUUAAACAUGGUGAAAUUUUAAUAUAUUUUAUGCUUUUCGAUA